AUCUUAUCUAAACUAAUUUUCCUAAUAAUCUCAUGUCAAAGCGAUAGAGCUCUUUCAAAAUAUAAAAUUUACCCUGGAUGGAUAGCCAACACUGAGGGGGAGGGACAUACUUCUUGACGUCUAAUCAGAAUGGUGGGAUGGGCCGUAGUCCAGCAUAUUCAGCCUAGUGUCAGUGUUAGUGAGAACUAUGAUCGUUUUCGUACGCAGCGUGUGUUAUUUGUGAAUUUAGUCGGUCUGUGUUUUUUGAUGUCCUGCUGCUAAAAAGUAAUUCCAGGUUCUGUCGAUCCUGAUGACGCGUUAAAUGGGAUUCCCCAGGGACCGUCCGUAGUUCCUGAGGAACCAGGGGCGUCCUUCUGCCCCCGCGGUGUGACGACGCUGCUUUUUCCGCCGUGUGGCAGGAAUCGCCGGUGAAAGGAUGUGGAAUGGAGUAUGCAGAUGAAGAGGAAAUGUAGAAGAACCAUUUCUAAAGCAUAAUUAUAACGGUCGCGUCGGUUCGUGGUUCUGGGGCUGUUCUAAG